AUACGGAGGAUGCGAGCGUUAUCCGGAUUUAUUGGGUUUAAAGGGUGCGCAGGCGGCGCGUUAAGUCAGUGGUGAAAUGUCCCGGCUCAACCGGGGAACUGCCGCUGAUACUGACGUGCUCGAGUACGGACGGCGCCGGCGGAAUGUGUCAUGUAGCGGUGAAAUGCUUAGAUAUGCCACAGAACACCGAUCGCGAAGGCAGCUGGCGAGGCCGGUACUGACGCUCAGGCACGAGAGCGUGGGGAUCAAACAGGAUUAGAUACCCUGGUAGUCCACGCAGUAAACGAUGAGGACUUGUUGUCGGCGAUAGAGUGUCGGUGACAAAGCGAAAGCGAUAAGUCCUCCACCUGGGGAGUACGAUCGCAAGGUUGAAACUCAAAUGAAUUGGCGGG
rnacentral:rRNA from 1 species